CAUUUGCAUAUAAUUUUAGACGCCUUACCAAGGAACAGAUCAAGUGUUAGGCUUGCAAGUAAGAUAAAAACAAGGCCAAUAGGUGUACUUAUACUCGGAAAUACGCGUGCUCUGCCAAUAGUGUCAAAACAGUUGUAUUAGGGUUAGUUUCCAUAUAUUUCAUUGUGUUCACCCAAAUGCCUCGACUUGAAACAAUUGUUUGUAACUGUGAAAUCUGUUGUUAACGUUAAUUUGCACUUAUCUUGACCAAUCAGAAUCAAGUAAUUUUGCAGUGUAUUAUAAAGUUGGAAAAUAAAGAAUACAUUUGUAUGCAUACAUAAAAUCAAUGUACAUUCCGAGAAUUUGUACUAAGGAACAACCAGCGACUUUUUGACAAGCACGCAAUCGAAGCUCUUGAAUGAAUAUAAUAACAUAAUAAAUUAAAUUCAGUUGUAUGGUAUACUCAGAGGUACAGUAACACCCGCCAGAGAGGAUGCUAACAAAUGCAUCAAUAAAAUAAAGAUGAUAAAAGCC